CACCCUUAGGUAAGCCACUGUGGCUCUGUCCAAGUCCUGGCAGCCAACCCCACUAAUCCUGUCUGGUCAACCCCCAUGCAGCUGCUGCCUCAUUCUGGAAGUACAAAAAUUCCCCGAAGCUCUCAUAAAUAUGCAUGAAAGAUGUCUGCAAACACCAACUGUUCCUGCAUGUGACCCAAAGUACCACAGUUCUAUACAGCCAAGUUUAGCUUGGGUUUUCAAGCCAGAACACUGCAUGGCUGGGAAGUGAAGAGGUUUGGGAUCCCUUUCUCCUCCUUGUUUGCGGCUACCUAGAGGUCCAUAGAGAGGUGGAGACAAAGACUGAAAAGAAGGAUUUAGAGUCCUGAUCAGGUUUGUCAAUCCUUGACUGCAGUUUAUGAAAUUCUGUUUAGUGUAUUAUGGAAAUAGUCCUUGGAGCAGGAAUUAGACACCAGACCUACCCUCUCCCUUCAUCCAAGCUGCUUUCUCUUUUGAGCUCACUGAAUCUAGAAAGCCUGUUGCCCAGUGAAUAGGAUAAAUAGGAUAUCCUUAAUAGGAUAAAUAAUAGCACCAUUUAAGGCUAUUCCUUAUCUGUUUGCUGAGGUGCUAUGGAAAUCGAACUGCUUAAAUACAUCCUUAUGAUGUAUUCUCUAAGUAGCAAAUUGUUAUAAAAACUAUUCUUCCAGAAACAAAAUGAUCUUUCUGUAUUAGAGCCUGGCACAAAUACAACUAUAUGCCUUGGAAUAAUGGGGGCAGUUUUCCUUCCCGUCUACAAAAAAGCACAUGACAAUCAGUUUCAAUUUCUCCUGAGGCAAUUUCUCACCUAAAUUUUAGGUUUAAGAAAAUGAUAUAGUAGUUACUAAUUUUCAGCUUACAUUAACCAUUUAGUAUUUACCAUGCAUUGAGUCUACAUUCAUAGGAGUUACAGCCAACAGUCAUUGUUCUCAAUGCAAGGGCUACUGGACAGUUUUGGCUCAAAGAAGGAAAAUUUGAAGGUGUAUUUCUCUGCUUUGUUUUUUGCUGGGGUUACUAUACUGCCAUAGGAGUUCUGCCUCCCUCUUGUGGCUACCUCUUUUACUUUCAGCUUGGAAGAGAAACAUUCACAGUGCAGCCAUGAUCAGAGUUCCUUAUAGUUGCCUUCCUUUUAUGUCUCCUCCUUAAACUUAGUAAAACCCCAUUAUGUCUGGAUUCUCCUAUACAAAAAAAAAAUUUAAACAUUUUAAAAUAGUAAUAAAAAUUGUCUACCUAAGAGAGAGAUUCUUUUUCACAUUCAUGUGGGAAUAACUGAACAUUUUUUAUAAAAUCAGUGGUAAUUCAGGGUGGUUAUGUUUUGUAAUUGGGUCUGAAUGUUUGGAUUCAAGUCAGCCCCAUGUAGGAGCUCCACCUAGGAGCUACUAAGAUAUACUUCAGAGGACAUGAUAUUUUCAAGUCAUGCAAAAACCCAUGGCCUAUAUAUUUUAGGAUAUUACUUUUUUCUUUCCUAUCACCUUCCAUUUAAAUAUUAGGUAGUUCUUUUCAAACAUUACAAAAUCAAGCUAUCUGAAGAGUUAAAUAAAGGACUAUACUUUUAAGAUGAUAGGAAAACCAAGACAGCAUUAAAUGUCUGCCUUGGAAUUUUAGACCCCCAGCUGAAUGCAAAUAUUAUGUCCCUUCAUUGCUUCCCCAAACCAUAACAUCUUAUUCCUUCAAAGUCCUUAGCAGACUUACAGCAUUUGCAGGGUGACUGACCUUGAGUGUGCCUGCUCUGUGCCCUUCAUUCUUUU
ensembl:lncRNA